GAUCCUGGCUCAGGACGAACGCUGGCGGCGUGCUUAACACAUGCAAGUCGAGCGGAGAAUAUAGCAAUAUAUUCUUAGCGGCGGACGGGUGAGUAACGCGUGGGUAACCUGCCUUUUACUGGGGGAUAACACUGGGAAACUAGUGCUAAUACCGCAUAAAAUAGUGAAGUGGCAUCACUUUACUAUCAAAGGAGCAAUCCGGUAAAAGAUGGACCCGCGUCCGAUUAGCUAGUUGGAGGGUAACGGCCCACCAAGGCGACGAUCGGUAGCCGAACUGAGAGGUUGAUCGGCCACAUUGGGACUGAGACACGGCCCAGACUCCUACGGGAGGCAGCAGUGGGGAAUAUUGCGCAAAUGGGGGAAACCCUGACGCAGCAACGCCGCGUGAAGGAUGAAGGUUUUCGGAUUGUAAACUUCUUUGAUUGGGGACGAUAAUGACGGUACCCAAAAAACAAGCCACGGCUAACUACGUGCCAGCAGCCGC
rnacentral:rRNA from 1 species